rnacentral:rRNA from 1 species
UACGUAGGGUCCGAGCGUUGUCCGGAAUUACUGGGCGUAAAGAGCUCGUAGGUGGUUUGUCGCGUUGUUCGUGAAAACUCACAGCUCAACUGUGGGCGUGCGGGCGAUACGGGCAGACUAGAGUACUGCAGGGGAGACUGGAAUUCCUGGUGUAGCGGUGGAAUGCGCAGAUAUCAGGAGGAACACCGGUGGCGAAGGCGGGUCUCUGGACCGGUACUGACGCUGAUGCGCGAAAGCGUGGGGAGCAAACGGG